AUUGAACGCUGGCGGAAUGCUUUACACAUGCAAGUCGAACGGUAGAGGGGGCAACCCCUUGAGAGUGGCGAACGGGUGAGUAAUAUAUCGGAACGUGCCCAGUCGUGGGGAUAACGUAGCGAAAGUUACGCUAAUACCGCAUACGAUCUAAGGAUGAAAGCGGGGGAUCGCAAGACCUCGCGCGAUUGGAACGGCCGAUAUCAGAUUAGGUAGUUGGUGGGGUAAAGGCUCACCAAGCCAACGAUCUGUAGCUGGUCUGAGAGGACGACCAGCCACACUGGAACUGAGACACGGCCCAGACUCCUACGGGAGGCAGCAGGUGGGGAAUUUUGGACAAUGGACGCAAGUCUGAUCCAGCCAUUCCGCGUGCAGGAUGAAGGCCCUCGGGUUGUAAACUGCUUUUGUACGGAACGAAACGGUGAGCUCUAAUACAGUUUGCUAAUGACGGUACCGUAAGAAUAAGCACCGCUAACUACGUGCCAGCAGCCGCGGUAAUGUGACUAC
rnacentral:rRNA from 1 species